AUGAAGGAGACUGAUCCCAAGAAGAAAACAAAGAAAAGGAAGCGGGGGACCGUAAAGCAGACAUAAUGCAAACCCAAAAUGUUGGUGAAAUUGAUAGAUGGUAGAUUGGAGGUCACCCACUUUGUUCGCGAUCAUAACCAUUCUCUAGUCAACAAACCCUCAUUGUCAAAAUACGUGAGGUCUCACCAAGGGAUACCUCCAUAUGAAGCGGAGUUCUUGCGCAUAUUGUAUAAUUGCAACCUCAGUAGAGGCCGUAUGAUGCAUGUAAUGUCAGAGUUUUAUGGUUCAGAGUUGAUGGUUCCCUAUGGACCAAAAUCAAUAACAAACCUUUGUACAACUUUCCACAAGGAUGACACAAAAGACAAUUGCACAUUUCAAGAAAAUACAGAAGACUUAUCCAGAUUUCUUCUAUAA
rnacentral:rRNA from 1 species